AGGCACAGAGAUGUGCUCUCCGUUCGGGCAAUGGAUACGAGGUGGGUGCAUGGUUGUCGUCAGCUCGUGCCGUGAGGUGUUGGGUUAAGUCCCCGCAACGAGCGCAACCCUCAUUGUUAGUUACUACCAUCAGUUGAGGACUCUAAUGAGACUGCCAACGAUAAGUUGGAGGAAGGUGGGGAUGACGUCAAAUCAUCAUGCCCUUUAUGACCUGGGCUACAAACGUACUACAAUGGCCGGUACAAAGAGAUGCGAAGUGGCGACAUGGAGCGAACCUCAGAAAGCCGGUCUCAGUUCAGAUUGAAGUCUGCAACUCGACUUCAUGAAGGCGGAAUCGCUAGUAAUCGCGGGUCAGCAGACCGCGGUGAAUACGUUCCCGGGUUU
rnacentral:rRNA from 1 species